GUGAAGAAAGAAAGUGGAAUUGUUAGUGUACGGGUGAAAUGGGUAGAGAUUAGGAGGAAAAGCAGUGGCGAAGGGAGUUUCUGGAUUGUAACUGAAAUGAGGCAUGAAAGGGUGGGGAGAAAAGAGGAUUAGAUAGGGUGGUAGUGGAGGGAGUAAAGGAUGAGUACUAGGUGUAGGGAGUGAAAUGUCUGUGCGCAGUUAAGACAUUAAGUAGUCCGCGUGGAAGUACGAUCGCAAGAUUAAAACUGAAAGGAAUUGAGGGGACCCGCACAAGCAGGGGAGAAUGUGGUUUAAUUGGAAGCAACGGGAAGAAGCUUACCAAGACUUGACAUCUCGUGAAUAGCCUAGAGAUAGGUGAAAGCCUUCGGGGCAGGAAGACAGGUGGUGCAUGGUUGUCGUCAGCUCGUGUCGUGAGAUGUUGGGUUAAGUCCCGCAACGAGCGCAACCCUUGUCGUUAGUUGCCAUCAUUAAGUUGGGCACUCUAGCGAGACUGCCGAGGUUAACUCGGAGGAAGGUGGGGAUGACGUCAAAUCAUCAUGCCCCUUAUGCCUUGGGCUACACACGUGCUACAAUGGCCGGUACAGAAAGAAGCGAACCCGUGAGGGGGAGCAAAUCUCAAAAACCGGUCCCAGUUCGGAUUGUAGGCUGCAACUCGCCUGACGAUGAAGCCGGAGUUGCUAGUAAUCGCGGAUCAGCAUGCCGCGGUGAAUACGUUCCCGGGUCUUGUACACACCGCCCGUCACACCAUGAGAGUCGGCAACACCCGAAGUCAGUGGGCUAACUCGAAAGAGAGGCAGCUGCCGAAGGUGGGGUCGAUGAUUGGGGUGAAGUCGUAACAAGGUAA
rnacentral:rRNA from 1 species